AUUGAACGCUGGCGGCAGGCCUAACACAUGCAAGUCGAACGGAGUGGCGGACGGGUGAGUAAUGUCUGGGCAACUGCCUGAUGGAGGGGGAUAACUAGUGGAAACGGUAGAUAAUACCGCAUACCACCCUAUCUGCCCAGACGGGUUUAGCUAGUUGGGGGGGUAAAGGCCUACCAAGGCGACGAUCCGUAACUGGUCUGAGAGGAUGAUCAGUCACACUGGAACGGAGACACGGUCCAGACUCCUACGGGAGGCAGCAGUGGGGAAUAUUGGACAAUGGGCGAAAGCCUGAUCCAGCCAUGCCGCGUGUGUGAAGAAGGUCUUCGGAUUGUAAAGCACUUUAAGUUGGGAGGCGUUACCAAAAGAAUAAGCACCGGCUAACUUCGUGCCAGCAGCCGCGGUAAUAC
rnacentral:rRNA from 1 species